UUCAAUUUUUUUUAAAAACACGUAUUUCAUUUCUUGGAUCUCUUUCUUCUUCCUGUAACUACACAAUUCUUCCCAUAGAAGCAUCAAUGGCUUCCUCUUGGCCAUCUCCUGUGUCAAAUUCUCAAAUGAUGACACCCUCACUCUCUUGGUCUCCGCCUCCCUCGACAAGACCAUUGCUAUUUGGUCCUCCUCCAUCGUCUCGUCGUCCACUCCGAGGGCAUCUCCGAACUUCCUUGGUCCUCCGAAUCCCACUGCAUUUGUUCUGCUUAUGACGACCACCUUCCGCCAAAGGUGAAUGCGUCAAGACCUUCUGUGGCCACUCUGACCUAGUUUUCUGCGUUAACUUCAACCCUAGUCUAACCUCAUCGUCUCUGGCUCCUUCAACGACACAAUUAGGAUCUGGGAGUCAAAACUGGCAUUGCUUCACUCAAUUAAGGCUCACUUUAUGCCUGUUGCCUUCGUACACUUUAAUCGCGAUGGUUCGUUCAUUGUGUCCGGUAGUCAUGGUGGGUCCUGCAAGAUUUGGGACUCUGCCACUGUUGGUUGCUUGAAGACACUUACUGACGAUAAGGUCCUGCUGUGUAAAUAUGUGCUCGUCCAAUUUCCUUGAUUGAUCCAUGUAUAUAUAUAUAUAUAUAUUUCAUAGUGAUGGACGAUAAUCAGAUGUUAAUUUAAGCUAUGCUUUGUGUUUUUCUAUUCAUUUAAAAUAAUAAUUGCUUUCAUGUUUUUCGGUUCUCUGCUUAGUCAAAUUUGAGGCUUGUGCCCUUUGCCAAGAUUACAGAGAACAUUGGGGAAUGGGCCUCGUUGUGAUGCCACUUCUCUAACAAUAUACCUCACUGGAGAGGAAGCUCCUCGCUGAAUUCCUAGAGAGAACUUACUGAUGAAUUCAGAGCUCAAGCAAUUUGUUAUCUCAUUUCUUUUAUUUGAUUUUUUUCUUAUGUUUCUAUUUCUUUAGAUUUGAGGCUGUUACUAAAAUGUUGUGUAUUUUGAUGGAUUUCAACUUUCUGUUAUAGGUUAUGAAUGAGUUCUCAAGGAGGGGAGACGAGUCAGAAUGAUUAGCCUUUGUGAUUUGGAAAUCAGGAUUGAAGUUCCAUUUGGUUUUGGUGCUUUGCAGUCUAUCACCACUCUUUCCAAAAAAUAUUAACUUGUUUUGGCAAGAUUAGGCACAGUUUAGUCAAUAUUGAUUUAAACUUUUAUGGUUGACGUUUGAAUUCAUUUUCUAAUACAUUUGAAGCUAUUCUGAUGGUGGUUGAGUUAUAUUACUUCAGUUCCAAAUGUAAACAUAUCAAAUGCAACAAUAUCUAUAUGCAACUUUUAGUUCCAAAUA